CUAAAUCUCAUCCCUAAAAUUGUCAAUUUCUGGUCCCUAAUACAGUGAAUGGGGUGGGACUGAAAUGCCACCCAUUUUUUCCUCCAAAAAUAUAAUAUCAUAUAUAAUUAAUAAUUAUAAAGAAAUAUAAAAAUAAGCAAAAACAACGUUCGUCCAUUCAUCAUUUUAGUGACUAGGGUUUACUCCCCAUAUCUCAGUCUCACAAAAUCCCUAAUUCCACAUCAUUUUGACAACCUGUUCUAGUGUUCAUUGAAAUUUGUGCUUGAUUUCUUCAUUCAAAUUGACAAUUUGUGUCUUCAACUGUUCCUCACGACCUUUUAGGGGUUUACGACUAUUCGGUUUUGGUGUGUUGUUUUUUUGGGUAUGUUUUGUAUUUUUGUUCUGUGACAUGUCAUACUGUGCGAUUGAGUUGGGGUUAUCAUCGGAGGUAGAGUCAGCUCGCCAGGAUGUCAUUAUCAGCGGGAGAAAAGAUUCUCUGUGGCCAUUGUUGGUCGUAUCCUCCGUGCUUCCUCGUAUUUCCAGGCUGCCAGGUUGUUUCUCUAAUUUUUCUUGCUGAUUAAUUGGUUCUUCAGGGCUAUGAUUUUGUGUAUGCUUGUGUUUUUUGUCACUCCUUGAUUUUGGUCUUUCACUACAGCAUUACAGGUAUCUCUUUAUUCUUUUCUUGAAUGUGGAUUUUCAUCUUACAUUUGUGACUUUGUCUUGUCAUCUGAUUUUACAAUUUUUUAUCCCCAAUAUUGAACUUUUAUAAACAAUUUCUGUUUCUUGUAUGUUUGGGGCUUUGGGCUUAGAUUCUUGCCAAUGUCUAAGGACAUCUGUUUUCCCCUAAGUUCGUCGGACUCUUUAUUUUUUGUGCUGCACCCCUGUAGACACGACAUGGUGUGUGUGUGGGAUCCGUACCGGAUAUAAUCAACUGAUUUUGGAUACUUUGACCAAAAUCGAGGGAGAAAUUUGGGACAAAUACAAUGAUUUCUGUAAUAAAAACAAAAGCUAAGAUGAAAUUGAAGAAAAUGGAAUAGCUUGUAUAUAGAAAUUUAUAUGUCAGUUCUUUUCCUUACUCCUUUUGGGAUUCUCCUCUUGAUUAAUAUUUUCUCAUCCGAAUACCUUAUAAGUUUCCACAUAAUGUCUCAUAAUUAAGACAUAUAACUAUAUUUUUAUAUAGUUGAUUUAUUUUUAGCCGAAUCCCCGCACCCGUAUCGAUACCUAGAUCCAUACCCCCGAAUCUUAAAUUUCAGAUCAUGAAGGAUCCAACUUCUAGAUCCGUACCUGUAUCAGACACCUGCACCCGAGACCAAGCAACGUAGGUUUUCCCAAAUGGUUUAAUUUUUUUUUUUUUUUUGCCUGUUACAAACUAUCUUGUGUUGUUUGUUUCAGAAGUUUUUUCUAUGUGAUGGUCAUGUUAAAAUUUGAGGUACAUUCUCCUAAAAAUCAUGUUCAUAGGAUAGCAUACUCUUAAGAAAAGGGACAACAUACUCUACUACUUGGAUUUCAUGCUAGCAAUUUAGUGUGUGUCCAUGUUUGGCAACAUUCUUCUUGUGUAUCUAUGCGCCAAGAAUAUGUUCUGCUAGUGGUUCAUUAUCAUCCAUCUGAAAAACAUGCUUUUAGUUCAUAUUGGGUCUAUAAAUCAAAGUUCAUGACUGAUUUUGUUUGGAAAAAAAAACAUGUUGUAAGACAUAUAUAUAUAUAUAUAUAUAUAUAUAUAUAUAUAUAACAUUUAGAAGGCACAAUAAAUGAUUUGUUUAUCUAGAAAGAAUGCUUUGAGACUUGCUGCACUUGAAACCUUAUUUCUUUUUUAAACUUCCAGCAUUUAGAAAUUAUAUCCCAGGAUUCACUUCUUUAAAAGUCAUACUUGGAAAAACAUUAGUGGCUGCAUCUUUAGUUGAGCCAGAGUAUGCCUUGUCCCUGCUCUAUGACUUUUCUCGGUUAAUAAAUAUUCGGUAAACAUUUGUGACUGCUGGUUUCUGCAUUCUAUUUAAGGUUAAAUGUUAGAAUACUUAAGGAAACAAAGUGAGGAUGCAUUUUGUUUUGAAAAUCAUAUACUAGGACCUGUAUUUCCAUUGUAGAGAUUAUGUCUUAGAAGUUGUCUAUUGAAUUUCAAGAUCUAUGUAUCUGAGCUGUUAAUCAUUUAGAGAUUGCCACCUUAGGGAUGUCCGCUUCAAAUUUAAAGAAAAAGUUAUAGUUUGAUCGACGUGUUAAAGCUUGUUUAGUUUCAUUAGAUAACAGGUCUUAAGAUUGUCUGUUUGGCCCGUCACCUUUUCCUUGUCUUUAGUUUUAGGCUUUACAUUCUAUGAUCUUUGUUGCAGUUACUCAUAAUAUUUUCCUAUUGUUGCCUCACUGCUAAUGCAUGUAGUCCUGUCUCUAGUUUUGUUAUGCAUAUUUACGUGGUUUUCCUUUUAAAUUAUGUCUGUAGAUGUCUGAAAAUAGGUGUUCUUUUAGCUGUAAGUUACCCAGUGGUUAUCUGCCUAUGACAUGUGUCAGUUCUGUGAUAUGCUUGCUUAUAUGAGUCAUUCUUGAAAAACUAUAAUUCAUUAAUUCAUAUUUGGUUGUAACAAAAAAUUGAAUAAUUCAUAUAUGUGUAAUUCGCUAAUUAGAUGAUCACUUUUGUUUAACUAGCAACUAAUUUGCCUAUUGGUUAGGAUUUCUUUAAGUGUUUGUUCCUGCUUACGUGUCCUUUUAGUUUAAGUCACCUUAAGCUGAAUUAGUCAUUAAUAGGCUAACACUUAGUUGACUAUUUCAUUCAGUAAAAAAAAAAAAAAAAUAGUUGUCUUAAAUCAUCUCAGGACAUAGUUAAAUUCAAUUUACAUAAACAUGUUAAUUAAUUGACAUACUGAUAUUUGAGUUACUAGUUUCUGGAAACAUGCAUUGCACGUUUGUUCCAUAUCAUUAUUAUAAAAUUUAUACAUACUUAAAAGGUCGAGUAAUAAAAUAUGAAUAUAAGUGAUGUGAUCAAAGGGUGGAGUUGCUAAUUAGUAAUCUCUCUUUUAGAGAAUGUGUUAUGUUCGUAUUCAACUUCAAUUAGAUAUUUCAUUUUUAAGAUUGUUAUUCCUCUUUCAUUACACGAAAGUCGAAUUUAAUAUUGUUCAUAUGUGCAAUAUUAGACUUUAUAACAUUUAUGUUGCUUUUAAUUUUAAAAGAAGUACAUUACAUUCAUUAAAAUUACAACACUUCUGAAUCCUUUGGUAGAAACUACAAUGCCCAUGUAGAAAGUACUAUGACAUGAAGGCAGCAAAAUGCUUAUACAGCCUUGACAGCAAUGAUUGAACUCCAAAUUUGGUAGAAAGUACAAUGCACAUGUAGCCAUCCACUUUAGUUCCUAGAUCUUAUCAGAUUCUUUGAAGUUAAAGUUGAAUUAUCUUUUCUUUGAUAACUUCUCUUUGGAAUCUGAGCUUUCAUCACCUCAGUCUCUCGGAUUUAAAUUUUUCACCAGGGAGUUUCCUAGUACUUUCACUACUACAAACCACCCCAGAACUGAAAUUACUUCCCACAUCAGCUGCCUAUACUUAUAUUAGCAAUUGUGAAUAAAGAAUGGUUUUUUUCCAUUUGUUUCCGAAUCUCAUCGACACUUGCAAUUGAAAAUGGUCGAACUUAAUAGCUGCAAAUGAAGAAGUAGGAACUUGGGGAAUGGAUUGGAUAGAAAUGCAAUAACAUUAUAUUGUCCCGUGACAUGGUUUGCACAAAAAUCUUGUGAAGUCAUUAUACUUAUAAGCCAAGACGUACUGUUAAAAAUUCUGCAGAAAUCUCAACAGUCACAUUAGAGAAAAGGCUUUAAAUGUUUGAUGGUUUCUUUUCAUAUCCAUUACAAGUAAAAUAUACAUGGUACAAUAGAGACUUUAAUUUCCAAAAUGAAUACAACUGUAUUAAAUAAGUUUAAAUGUGCAAUUAUUGUUGGAAGCUGUCAAAAUCAAGGAAAACGUACACACACGUUGCCUUGAGACAUACCUUCAGCAGGUUGAUUCAUUGUACAUAUAGUAACUGGUGAUUUUUUGUCUUGCUAAUUGUAACUUACAAUUAAAUAUUAGUCCACCAAACUUACAAUGUAUAAUUACCCAUCUCUACAAUACAAUAAAAAGAAUAUUAUAGGAUAGAAGGGUACGAAUGUCGUUUAACUUUUAAGGGGCAUUUUGGUAUUUCAACUUUGACAGUUGGAGCUUCCCACUUUUAGAAUAGUAUGAUGAUUAGUUGGGUGCAUAAUUGAUAAAAUUAUUUCUAUGUGCUUGGGAUGGAUAUAAUGAGCCUAGUUCACGUCAGGUUGGUACAUCCUUUAUUAAUCGAACUUGGAUUUUCAGCUUUAUUUUCUACUCUUCUGAUAUGUAAUCCAAGAGCCUCAUUGAACUUGACUGUGGGAUAGACUAUGUAAAAUCUUUGCUUUAGUAAAUCACUUAAGAGAUCAUGUUUUAACGCAAGUUGUUGCAUUUCUAGAGAUCUAGUAUUUGAGUAGCUUUUUUAGUUACCUAUUGCUUGUUUAUUUGGUUUAAUAUAGAUCAAUUGCAGUUAGAAUCCUUUAAGCUAAUGUUUAUCUCGUCUUAGAACUUUUAAGAAAGUCGAUCAUACAAAGUGAAAUAGAGGGAAGUUGUGAUGUUGUGUUUACGGAACACUAAUGUCUGUUAGCAUCUUAGGUUAGGUAGUCACUUUCGGAUUCAAUAUCUUGGAUCCUUGUUUGUUUCUCCAUCUACUUCGUAAUCACAUGAAUGUCAUCUGGCUCUUUUUAGAUUUCUUCAAGGUUUGAUUGCUACUUUGGCCUUUUUUAUAUAUAAAUAGAUGAAUAAGUAUUUCUAGAAGUAUAGUUUUCUUUCGAGAUUUUCUAAAAUACGUCAAGUGUGUUUCUUUCUAACGUAAAUCUUAGGAACUUAUAAUACGUCAAAUGAGUUUCUUUCUAACGAUAAGGUCCUUUGAUUAUGUGUCAUUAUAUUUUACUAUUCAACCUAAAGGGAUUUCAGCAUUGCUAAAAGAAAGUGUACUUAUUCCCUGAUAUAAUGGUAGAAGCUAGUAUACUACUUUAUCACGUACAUGCUACUUGGUUUGUUUAUCAUUUUUGUAACUUUUAUUUAACCCAAUGUAUGAUGGUGAUACUAACUUGUAUAUUUUAACUUUAGAAAUCAUUUUAUAGGAUAAAUCUAGCGUAUCAGAAUCUAUAUGUUGUGUUGGACUAAGCUUAAAUGUAUUAUAUGUAUCCAUGUUGAAUCUGCAUCCUUUUCUUUAGUGAAAUUAGACUAAUAUUCUGAUUUUCUUGUUUUAGCCACUUAAAUGAAUUCAAGAAUUAUAUUCCUAGGUGUUGUACUCAUUUUUACACAUUAGAUGAACACAUACAAUACUAUUUCACCCAUGCUGUGUUUUCUUUUUUAAAAGAUGUUUGUUCUUGACUUGUGUAACCCUUAUUUACUAUACCUAAGUUUUUGUGCAUAGCAGGCUUUCAAGAUUUGUAUACUGCUGCCUUUUUUGUUUGGCUUUGUUGUAGCACAUCCACGCAAGCUUCAUGAGUUGUUGCUGUGGAGGAAGAUCAAGAUCACCCCAUUCUAGUCGCAUCCCGCUUUUCAUUUCCUUUAUUUUGAGCUCCUAGUACAUUUUUGUUCAACUUCUCUACUAUAGGUUUGUACAUCUGAUCAAAUUUGAAUUUUAGAUGAGUGGUUAAUUUAAAAAUGUUUUAUCUAUUUUUGUAGUUUUUCUUGAUAGAAUUUGUCUUACAUAUUUUACAGGAUAUGAAGACUUGAGUUUACUAUUCAAGAUGCGGAUUUUGAAGACAUCAUACAAGUUAACAAGUUGAUUAUCAUUUUACUAGGAUUGUUAAACUUAUUUUUUCAUUUUUUGCUAGGGAUGUUAACUUUUUACGUAAAGGGUUGUGUAAGCCAUACAAAGACUUGUCUAUCAUGGCCAUAGAUUGCUACUAAUGGAAUAUGAAUCCAUUUCUUUGUAACGAAUUACAUAUUAUAUAUGAAAAGGAUAUGUUAUCAAUAAUGCUUAUAUGCAUUU